CCUACGGGAGGCAGCAGGCGCGAAAACUUUACAAUGCGGGCAACCGUGAUAAGGGAACCUCGAGUGCCUGUAAAUGCAGGCUGUUCAGGUGCCUAAAACACACCUGAAGAAAGGGCCGGGCAAGACCGGUGCCAGCCGCCGCGGUAAUACCGGCGGCUCGAGUGGUGGCCGCUUUUAUUGGGCUUAAAGCGUUCGUAGCUGGGUUGUUAAGUCUCUUGGGAAAUCUGGCGGCUUAACCGUCAGGCGUCUAAGGGAUACUGGCAAUCUUGGAACCGGGAGAGGUGAGGGGUACUUCGGGGGUAGGAGUGAAAUCCUGUAAUCCUCGAGGGACCACCUGUGGCGAAGGCGCCUCACCAGAACGGCUUCGACAGUGAGGGACGAAAGCUGGGGGAGCAAACCGGAUUAGAUACCCCUGUAGUC
rnacentral:rRNA from 1 species